rnacentral:snoRNA from 1 species
CCUGCCGCUGCACCUGACCAUUCUCUGGGCUGGUGCAAUCCAGUGGUGAGUUGAGAGUGAACCCCAGCAUAGGAAAAAAA